GUGAACCAGAGUGUGCAUGCUUCUUGGUCAUGGUCAAGAGUAGUCAUGUUUGAAUACUUCUUCUGCUGGCGGGCUAUACGGCGCUUUUCGAGGAUGCAGGUGAAAUCGCGGCGGCGACGUGCUGACCCUGAGAGGGAGACGCGAUCCCAGGUGACAGGUGUGGGGGAGGUGCAGUCGCAGAGAGAGGAAG